rnacentral:sRNA from 1 species
UGACCAUUUGAAAAAAGAGCAUCUACUGC